ensembl:lncRNA
AGGUGUAUAGCGCGUGAUAAUUCCUGGGACAGGGGAGAUGGGUUACCAAUGGGAAAUACGUUAAGUGGGUGAUGCUGAAGGCCAGGGGUGGAGAGAGGAAGGGAGGGGAGGGGAGGAAGGGGGGUUCCAGGGGACGGGGUGCUGUGGGGGAGGAGACUACGACCAGGACGAGAGGAGGAGGAGGAGAUGAUGGAGGAGUUGCAGGAGAGGAAGGAGGAGAACGAGGAAGGGGGAGGAGGGGAAGAAGGGGGAGGAGGGGGAGGAAGACGAGGAGGAAGGUGGUGAUGCUUGGUCCCGGCCGCGAUAUUCCCGGCGGGGGUGCUCGCCAUGGGCUGUUUCUCGUCUGUCCUGCCUGGCUACCAUGCUGCCCUGCCUUGGAACCAGCCAACUAUGGACUGAAACAUCUACAAACUGUGCGAGCAUGUGUGUGUAUUGCACUGGGUCCCAGUGUAAAUAAGGUGCAUUUCUGAUCAUGGUGGUAGUCAGCUAUAAUGACAGAAAAGUGGCUUCAGAGACAAUAGGAGGGGAAAACACAAUGCAAUAAAGCAGACGUUAAAAUUUGCUAAAGUUGAGUGAAGGGAGUUCGACAUAUCAGCUCUUUCUAAACUCCAAGAAGCCUAUUGGGAAGAUCACUCAUUUUUCCAUUCACUGAUUCAACACAUAAUUAUUGAGUGUCUACAACGUUCAACCCACUGAUGAAAUGGCGUCAACUGGAUACUGGCAGCCUCUGUAUUAAAUGUAGCACAGAGAUAUUU